UAAAGAGGCCUAAUAACUUCAUUUAUAGUUUUAAGAACUAUGUAAUUUCCACUGAGAACUUUAUGCAGUAUAGAGGCCAAGCUCAGGUAUAUUCUUUCAGUGCAGUACUUUGUUGUUGUUGUCUAAUAGAGACAGAUUUUUCUUUGUUUGGCAAAUAGCUAUGGGCCAGCAUAAGCCACAUAUCAAGUGACUGAAGUUACUGUUUAGGCACGUCCAGAGUCCAGGAUGUGGUUGCAAGCUUUGCCAUAAAAUUAGCAUCAAAUCAGCUAAGGUGCAGACUCUAGAACUCUGGGUACCUUUCAGCAUCAGGAAUGUCCAGAAAAAUAAGUCAGAACACAAAGAAGAUUUUAAAAUAUGUAAGAAGAAAACUUGUUUUUCUACUCAAACCAGACUGAUUUUCUAAUCUUACACUCUUGAACACGUCAUCUACCUAAUUACUUCACUGUGUGACCAAAGACAGGUACGUAAUUCCUGCCACACAUCAUGACACUAUGCAUGUAAACCUUUUGCAUCAGUGAUUUAGCAACUGAGUGGAUUCACUAAGAGCCUUGUGUGACACUUUGCUUACCUGGGUAGGAUGCCUCCUGAAGCCCUAGCUCUGGCAAACUUGAGUGGAAAUAGAUAAGAAUGUUACUUGUGCACAAAGCUUACAACUAAUCCAAGAUUUCAAAAGCAUCUCUCCAGGAGGCACAAAGAAUAAAUUGGAGAAUAUUUAAAGGAAGGGUCUAAAUAUAUUUGCCAUUGCAGAUUGCAAAAUAAUCACUAAUCUGUAUGAUUUUUUAAGUACCCCUGUCAGUCUUUUCUCAUGCUGUAUGUUGUAACUACCAUGGACAGCAAAAAGUUGGCCAAGACAUUUGCAAACUAAUCUGUGCUGGGGUUUUAACAGUCAGACAAAAUACUGUUGAGCAACCCUGAAAACUUUUUUCCCUAGUGACUGUCUCCACAUCUCUGCCAAUCCCCACUGAAACAACAUGUCUGAGAGGACAGCAACAGAAAGCCUGUAGAGUUCUGCUACUCGUCCCCUUUCUGAGUUGAAGGUGAAGCCUGAGGCCCAGUGGGAUUGCAUGAUUAAGGUUUUGACUGAAGGCUGUUGGGAAGCUGUCAAAACAGUAAGCAUACCAUGUUUGCAUCCAGAAUGGAUUAUAUACAGGGAGAGGCUUUACCUCCUGGUGUUUGUGAUACAGGCUCAAUAUUGGUUAUAUGGAACAUGCAUAAUGUAUACAGAGGAUGUACCUCUACUCUUAAGGCAUUGCAGAGAAGUUGCCCGAAGUCCACAAGGGUUGGAGGAGGAUGCUCAAUACACUGCAGUCAGGAGGGUUAGAGUACAUCCAGCUACUCCUGACACCUCUCCCUGAGACACCUCUUUUUGACCCACAGGGCUAGAGAAGGGAAGAUGGGAUCUCUAUGGCAUUUCCUGAGUUUCCCAGUGUCUACUUUGUAAUUUGAGUUUUUACACCAUUAAGCAUCCUAUAUAUGUACAAUCCACAUUGUUUGUGUAAUUUGGUUUCUAAAUAUUACCUGUAUAUAAACAGCUACAUGGUUAAAUAUAACAGUGAAAGCUCCAAUUUCAGUUCUACUUCUAGACCUCUGUGUAAUUUUUUCCACUUCUCUGUACUUGCAUCUCUCUGUAACAUGAGGCAUAGAGAUGAUUGAGGAAUCACAAUGAAGUUGGUUUGUGUUGCUGCUGGUGAAGGUUAGAUGGAUACAUUUGGGUAUUGCUGUCUCAUAUUCAUCUCUGGUGCCUGCAGGGGCCGUUGCUGUCAUGAAAAUCCAUCUAGUCUCACUACUCUUCUGUGACAGCAGAGAAGUGUUAGUAGCUCUGCUUUUCUAGAUGAGAACUAGAGGGCAGAAUGACCAUGCAUAGUAAUGUGUUCAGGAGACAAAAUAUUCAGUGGGACUUUUCCAGAGCAUGAAAGCAGGCUAGAGAUAUUUUCCUUGAGGAGACUAAGAGAAUAUUUCUUUACUUUGUGUAAUGUUUAAGAGCCUCUGUAGGCUUUUUAUCUGGUUGGAUGUGAGAUCAGAGUUACCGAACCAUCUGCUGAGUCUCUCAGUAGUUCAUUAAAAGUCUACAUAUCAGAAUGUCUAUCUAAAUUGAUGGUUAUUGAAUUCUUGGCUUAAAUGACUUCCUGUCUGUGACAGAGCAGAGAUGUAAGCCCAAGUCCCUCCCAAGUACUGUCCAAGACACUGAUCCUUCUGUUUGUGCAGAACUUAAGAUGAGAGGCAGGGCUUUAAGCACUCCGAUCACAAUGUGUCAUAGUAGAGUGAUAGUGAAAGUGUGAAGGUGUUCUGUAAUGUCUGUGGAGCUUCAGAGACCUUCAGAGUCUCCUCCCAGUCAACGCUACUCCAUAAUUUUAAGAAAAUGGUGGAUGGGUGGGAAGUAGCAGUGACUAUGAACUACUCUUCUACAUAAGAGACUGAGAUGUGAUAAUCUGCUAAAACCUUUGUUUUGCUUUCAAU